rnacentral:RNase_P_RNA from 1 species
CGCUGGGCAGCGAUGCCGAGAGGAAAGUCCGGGCAGCUCGAGCCACCAUGCUUCCUAACGGGAAGGGGUUUUGUCCGUAAGGGCAGGGCUACAGAAAGCGCCACAGAAAAGAAACCGCCUUUCGAGAAUAAAAAAGGCAAGGGUGAAAACGCGGGGUAAGAGCCCACGACGUGACGCGGUGACGCGCACGAUGGCAAGCCUCAUGGGCUGAAAGACCAAAUAUACCAAUAAGCCUUCGGGCAGCGGGCAGGCUCGCCUGCAUUAUUGGGGGGUAGGUUGAUAGAGGCCGUCGGUGACGGCGGUCAUAGAUUGAUGAUAGAACACGACAGAACCCGGCUUACAGACCCA